rnacentral:rRNA from 1 species
AUUGAACGCUGGCGGCAGGCCUAACACAUGCAAGUCGAACGAGUGGCGGACGGGUGAGUAAUGUCUGGGAAACUGCCUGAUGGAGGGGGAUAACUACUGGAAACGGUAGCUAAUACCGCAUACCAUCGGAUGUGCCCAGAUGGGAUUAGCUGGUAGGUGGGGUAACGGCUCACCAAGGCGACGAUCCCUAGCUGGUCUGAGAGGAUGACCAGCCACAGUGGAACUGAGACACGGUCCAGACUCCGACGGGAGGCAGCAGUGGGGGAUAUUGCACAAUGGGGGAGAGCCUGAUGCAGCCAUGCCGCGUGUAUGAAGAAGGCCUUCGGGUUGUAAAGUACUUUCAGCGGGGAGGCGUUACCCGAAGAAGAAGCACCGGCUAACUCCGUGCCAGCAGCCGCGGUAAUUG